rnacentral:rRNA from 1 species
UGGGGAAUAUUGCACAAUGGGCGCAAGCCUGAUGCAGCCAUGCCACGUGUGUGAAGAAGGCCUUCGGGUUGUAAAGCACUUUCAGCGAGGAGGAAGGGUAGUGUGUUAAUAGCACAUUGCAUUGACGUUACUCGCAGAAGAAGCACCGGCUAACUCCGUGCCAGCAGCCGCGGUAAUACGGAGGGUGCAAGCGUUAAUCGGAAUUACUGGGCGUAAAGCGCACGCAGGCGGUUUGUUAAGUCAGAUGUGAAAUCCCCGCGCUUAACGUGGGAACUGCAUUUGAAACUGGCAAGCUAGAGUCUUGUAGAGGGGGGUAGAAUUCCAGGUGUAGCGGUGAAAUGCGUAGAGAUCUGGAGGAAUACCGGUGGCGAAGGCGGCCCCCUGGACAAAGACUGACGCUCAGGUGCGAAAGCGUGGGGAGCAAACA